ensembl:lncRNA
CUCCAUCAGAUGUUGCACAGAAUAUAUUUUCUCUCCUUUGAGUUACAUUUUCACAAAUCUUUCAAAAAAACAUUAUACAUGAACACAACAAACGAAAGAAAGAGAAUCAAAGGCGCACUUUGACACUGAAAGAAUCUGCAGUCUAAACUUAAACUGAAAUCUUGGAUCUAUACGAUUAAUAACUGCGAGCCAAAUGGACAAUUAACAAAUGAACAGAUAUUUUGUCAAAGGUUUGUAAAAUGUAAAACGUCAUUAAAACCAUUAAAUAUAUGAAACACUGUGACACUUUUCACGAAAAAAUAAAUAAAUAAAUAAAAAAUAACAAGCUCGUAUGGGCAUAGCUAUAAUCAUUGCAGUAAACUCACUCUGAAGGUAGCUUUCUGCUAACAAAAAAAAAAAAUGAGCGGAAACAUAUCAGUUUCUUUAGAGUAAAACGAAAGAGUUAUAAGCUGCUUUUAGUUAUUUUGUUUUCAUUUAUUAUUCAUUUAAUGAAUUUGGUUUUCAUUUAUCAUCCAUUAGAUAGGCUAGCUAGUCUACAUGUAAUCAUCAUCGAUAAAUAGGCUAUUACAUUAGUUGCGGAUAUUUUGGGGGGAAUAUCGAAAAUUACCAGACUCAUAUUUUUAGACCCAAAAUAUGAUUUCUCUCUUACUCCCUCGGUCUUCUUUCUUUUUUCUGUCUUUCUGUCUUUCUAAGUAGCCUACAUAAAAUCAUUAAUUUAAAAUGCAUUUGCUCGUCAAUAAGCUUUAUAGAAAAGGAGGGCAUGCAAUUUUUGACAAACAUCAAGUGAACAUAACUGUAAAGUUUUUUAUUAACAUGGCAUUUAAGAUGAAUUUUUAAAUGAAACCAUGCGCGUUAAUAAUACUAGGGUUUUGCUGUAUGCUUGAAAGCGAUUAUCACAAUGUAAAAAAAUAAAUACAUAAAAAUAAAAAAUCCGUGCAAUAAACACGGCUUUAACUGCAUGAUCUUAAAUUAUAAAUCGCGUGUAACCCGCGUAUUGGCCAGAAGUGGCUGCGACGAUGUUUUUGAAAUUACAUUUUAAAAAAUAAAAUUAACCUUUGAGAUGCCUCUUUGCUUUCUAUCACACAUUUCCUGGCUUUAUUAAGUUCUCUGUCUUAAGAAAGCGGAAAGUAGCCUAUAUAAACGACUUUUCCCUCGUGUUUUUACAGUCAACUGCACAGUGGGCUACUGGAUAUAAUUUGCAACAAGAGCGACAAUAGUUGGUCAUUACUGAUAAUUGAGGGUGACAAAAAUAUAACGGACUAACAAAGAAAUCUACCAUAAAGCCAAUAUGUGGCUAUAUGUUUUCAAAACUGAUGCUGCUAGCCUAUUAAUGUGCGUGUAGCCUGGAUUUUAUUUCCCCAAAACAGAAAUGUGUUUAACGUGUCUACAAAAAUAGAAAAAGACACAAGGCUCCUAUAUAAUGUAAAGCUUAGUAUUUAUUUAUCUAUCUAUCAUUAUUUUAUUACAAUUUGAAAUCGUUGUAUCAGUCAGUUUGCUUUUUAAAAGAUGACGACAGUCGUAGAUUUAUAUUAAUGGAAGCUUUGAGAGAGGAAAAACUAAUACAUAAUCAAAUAGCCUGCAGUUAAAAUGAUAGAUUACAUUAUGAAUUUAUGAAUGGUAUGUUCACGUGGAAUUAUCGCUCUUGUCUCCUGAUAAAUCGUUACAUUUGUUUCUGCAGGAGUGCGCCACAGAGCAUUUCGCCACUAGAUGUCGCCACGUGUUACAGAAAUGCAUCACAGGGACUCAAAUUUCAUUUCUCACUUCGAAUGAAUUUCUAGAGCACGAAUGGCUGAGGCAAUAUUUAGAAAUGGCUUGAAAUAUCAUUAAGAAUAGAGUUUAUUGUUUUAUUUGCUGUCUUACACGUUUAGAGGAAUUGGCCACGAGGUUAUGUGUCCAACACGAAAAAAAAAGAUGUAGCUUAGCAAUUGAAAAGAGGAAGGCAAAAACGAAAGUUUAUUAACACUAUAAAAUAUUUGUAAAUACCCACCGUUUUAUGACAAUUCUCUGUUAAUCGUAUGUGUGCACUGCAUUACAAUAAGCUAAACAAUAGAAAGAAAACAUGAAUGUCUUUGUAUUGAAUUACCUGGAAAUCAGCCUCCCUCCUCUCUCUUACUCCUUCUCCACCCCUCUCUCUCUAUCAUACGUUUAACUCACUUAAACAACAAGUCUAGAACCUAUCUGAUAUAUAUCUAUAUCGGUGAUAUUAAUGAUUGUGAAAAGAACCACGAGAGAGAUAAAGGAGAGGAGAAAUAGAAAUAAGCCAUAGUCUACGGCUCGUUUAGACGCUAGACAUUUUAGAUUUCUCGUUCUCAUUAUUUACACGCGUAAUUAAAGAGGCUGGAUUACAGAGCUGUUUUUUGAUGCAAUAAGUGACCAUUAAGACAGUUUGCUGCAUAUAUUUUCAAUUUUACUGUAUUUGUUUAUUAAAAUCGAUAAUAAGAAUCAUCAUCUUUUCAAACUAUUAACAGUAUAUUUACAGGGACACGUUGGGAAAAAAUAUAUCCUGUUCAAGAUACGCAAAAACAAAAAUCAGGGUUUUUUUUAACGUUUAAUCCAAAGUAUGUAGGCUAACGGUUACAGACUAUAAAAUGUGUGAAAGAGUCAGUGAAUACAAAAAUCCUACAGUUGCCAAAUCUUCUCAUUGAAACGUCUUUUUUCAUGAGCCUCGAAAACAUUCUCAAAGUUAUUAAGACUCUUUUGGAUUAGGUUUUAAGGGUGUCUUCAGGAAUUGCCUGAAAUCUCUUUUCAUUCUCCGUAAAGUCGAAAUAUGACUAAAUAUGCACCCUACAUUAACUUUAUACUAACUAUAGAUUAGGUAACUUGGUCCAUAAGACCGAUCAAUGGCAAAAACAAAAAACAAAUUUUUUUUUUUUUUUGCCAUCAAUGGCAAAAAAAAUGCUCCGAAUUUAAUGCAAAAUAACAUAAGAAUAUCGUGAAAAUAAAUUAAGAUUUGAAAAUAGCUAAUAUAAUUUAAUCUCCAAUUAGGCUAUACAGAAACACUUUUAUAUGGUUUAUAUUAGCUAUAAUUCAGGACGUUAUGGUGAGUCAUUGUCUCCCAUUAUAUUUAAAGGAGCUGUGGGAAAGUUUGAAAUCCUUUUCUCUAUAGGUUUUAAAUAUGCAUAAGUAUGGUAAUCGCGGUCCUGCUGUGUUGCAAACAGACGCAGCAGAUCACACAUGUGCUACACAACUUCGGACCGUAAAGUCGCCAAGAUGAGGACAUGCAGAGUCCAAGUAAGUCCUGUUUUUCUCAUUGACGUCUGUUCGUAUAAAGAGAUAUAGCAGGGCUGUCUGAAGUUUAAGACGGAAAACAUGCGAGCAUAGGACAGCACGUGUGUUGACCCAUUGGGAGUAAAUCUUUACGCGUGUGCGCGUCUGACCACUUCUAUUGGGUGCCAGAUCAGUUGAGCAAAGGUUCACAAGAUGAAGAUCAGACGCUUUACGAGUAGGAACUAUGAAGAAGAGAUGCCUAAGAUUGCGCAAAAAGUUCUGGAAAAGAGUCUUGACUCGAAAGUAAACGCGGUUAAAUUAAUAGGAAGUGGAUAUUAGGCCUAAUGAUGACUUUAGCGGGCUGAAAAAAAUGUCACCAUUACUUACCCACUGGAAGAGAGCAGGAGAAAACUGGCAUCAGUGUUAUCAAAUGAUAAACCAACAUGAGACGUGCGACAACCCAGCCUGGGUAUAAUUUGCAAGGCAUGUGUAGAGCAUUAAUACAAUUUCUAAAUGUGUGUGAUUGGGUGUGGUUGUCUGUAUGCAUGUGUUUACCAUUUCUUCCAUUUCCCAAAAGAUCAGUGAUUUGUGUGCACCGGCACAUGAAAGACCGUUAAAAUAAUGCCCAUCCCCAGACAGGAGACACAAUACUGCGUUAGUCUGUGGCACACACACGUCUGGGCCUCUCCUCAGACACAAUAUGGCGAAUGGAAAGAGAGAGAGAGGAGGGGGGUGUGAAAGCAGAGACAGACACUCAGAAUAAUGCAUAAUGAUGUUAACAUUCCUGCAUGUCUAAUAGAGCAGGACCCAGUCACAGAGAGAUGCACCAAGUCAGAUGAACACGUGUGUGUGUGUGUGUGUGUGUGUGUGUGUGUGUGUGUGUGUGUGUGUGUGUGUGUGUGUCCAUGCACUCAGCAUCCUAAGAUACAUUAAUUUAGACUCUUU